CGUUGAACUGUUAUUUUUUACUUGUAUAAUUUUUUUUUAAUUUUUAAUUUUAAAAAUAAAUUUAAAUCAUCAAUAUUAAAAUAAUUAUUAUAUUUUAAAAAAUAUUCUAGAUUAAAACAAUAUUCUUUCAAACUACCAUUGUCUAAUGAUUCCAAUUUUUUAUCACUAAAUACAAAACUAAAUAUAUUUUCAAUAUAUCUGAAACUAUUCUAUUUUUUUUU
rnacentral:lncRNA from 1 species